AAUACUUGUGAACAAGCUUAAACCCCCGCCUCGUUUCUGGAAGAUUCUCUCCUCCCCCGCUCUCUCAGAAACAACUCAAAUCACGAUUCGCUCCUGCAACGCUGCACGCGCGCGGCACGAGGAGUAGGAUGCCGGCGGCGGCGGCGGCGGAGGGGAAGGCGGCGCGCGCCCGAUCGACGGCGGCGACAGCGGACGCCGCGGCCGACGACGUCCUGUACGUCUUCGCUCUCCUUCGUCGACGUCGUCGUCUUCUCUGUCUAUGAGAAUCUAGUUCUCGCGGUUUGAUCGGCAUAUCCACAGGAUGCCGCGGGGCGCGGAGGCGAACAAGGGAGCAGCGGGCGGGCGCGCACCCCCGCCCCCGCCGCGGCGGCGGCGACCGCGGGGCGGGACGACAGCCAGACUCGUCGCGUCGAUGGAAGCGCGGCUGGAGUUUGCGCGCGUCAGCCGGCGACCGCAGCGCGGGAGGUGGGCACAGCAGCAGCAGGAGGCGUGGCUCUCUGGUUAGUUCGUCGUCGUCUUCUCUGCGGCCGGUUUUUCGGUUGAGAGUUUGUGAAGCAAGGUGGUUUGUGUGUGGGGGUGGGGGGUGGUAUCCGGAUCGGUGUGUCCUUUUUUUUUUUUGAAUCGCAAAUUCAAUUUAAUUGUCGGGAUUGGGGGUGGUAAUGGCAAUCUAUUUCUGUGGCUGGUUCUUAGCGUUUCGAUGUGUGCUGUGUGAUGAGUUCUUGAUGCGGUAGGCUAUUGCGUCACUUCGGUCUCUAGAAGCGAGGAAGAUUCUGUAGUGUUUGCUUUCAAAUGCUUUGGCAAGUUCGAUUCGGCUGUAGAUUUCCUGCACCAAACUUAUGUUGGGCUUGCAAGUUCAGGAAUCUUCAGUUUGCUGAUUGCAUAUAUCUGAAGGCUGUUUGCACAAUUUUCUUGCUGAUAAUGUUUAUUCACGUUGGUAAUCUGUCUUUUUUGCAAGCAGACACGCAAAAAAAUUCUUAUUCGGGAUGGGGUUUUGUUUCACCAAAUGAAUGGCAUUCGUCACAACUCUUCAUCUUCUCUUUGUUUUCCCAGCCUGGUGCACAUUCUAUCGUCUCAUCUGGCAUUGUCUAUAAGGGUCAACUAAUUAGAUGAUGUCUUGCAAUUCUUUUGUUUGUUCUUCAGCUUGCAUUGGGAGUUUAGGUACUAGGAAACGGUUUUCUGCGUUUAGAUUGCUUGCUAGUUUCGAUGUGUGUUGGGAAAAAGAGCUCGGAAGCGAGCUGCAUGCUAGCGGUCCAUCAUAUUCAGGUGUAGUUUGGCCAUCACCAAUGUGCAGUAAAAGUUUCACAAUCACCCAAUUAAGCAUGUUGAUGAAGCCACUUUGACAAGCAGCGACCAAACAUUGCGUACCUGUGCACCGUUCCUAAUUUCUGCUGUCUCUUGUGUAAGGAACUAAGCCAGCUUAGUUGGUCGAUAGCUAGUGUGGGUGUACACCUAGACCAAAAGUUUUAUCAAGUUGAAUUUGGGUGCCUAUUUUCUUGUUAAACUAGAUGAAUAUCCCGCCGCGUUGCUGCGAAAAAUUACGUUGCAUAAUAUGUACAAAUGUAAUUUGAUUAUCAAAAUGAAAAUAAUUUGAUACAAUUUUGAGUCUAAAAAUAAUUAAGAUUGCAUGUUUUAAGAUAGAAGAAAGAAGAGACAAUUUGGACCAUAGCUCUAUCAUCCAAAGGCUAGAAAUAAUUAGGGGAAUAUAGCUUAAUGAGAGAAGAGAUAAAUAAUGUAUUAACUACACUUAAUAAGAAUAAACUAUAGUAUAUAAGAUUACAAAGUCGAUCCUAAUAUUUUCUUUAUCUUCUUAAAAUAAACACAAUGAACUCGCAUGUUUUUGUCUUUUCUGUUUGAAUGAUGUAUCACAGAAUGCCCUGCAAAUUUGCUGACCUUUUUAACCUGAUACGUCACUGAUCGGACUUUGAAUCAUCUUUUAUUAUUGUUGGAAGGAAAAAGUAUAUAUGAGGUCCUCAUCUUGUCAUCGAAUUACAAAAUCAUCCUCCAACCGCAAAAUAGAUAUAUAUCAUCCCUAACUUACAAAACCGGAUCACUCUAGGUCCUUAGGUGGUUUUGCCCCUAGUUUUGUCUAAUGUGGCAGUUGAGUCAGCGUGGGACCCACGUGGGCCCCACAUGUCAGUAUUUCCACAUCAACACCCUCUCUUUCCCUUCUUCUCUCCCCUCUUAUCUCCCUUCCUCCUCUCAGUCUCUCUCUCACUUCUCUGGGCAAGUCGGCCGCGGGGAGAGGCAGGAGAGGAGGAGGGCGUCGGUGGCCGGCGACAGGCGAUGCAGCGGCGACGCGGAAGAAAGGGAGACAUCGGUUGCAGAGGCCGUAGGCAUGGAGGAGGGUGUCGGCGGCCGGCGACGGCAAUACGGCGGUGGCAACAACUUGGGAGAAGGGUCGACGAUGUCGUGGUCCAAGAUGGCUCUAGCAUGGGCGGUGGUGUCCCCGGGACGGCAAGUCGGUGGGGAGCCAUGAGCCUCUCCUCCGACCUUACCUUCUUGCCUCUUCCGGCGGUCAUGGCGGUGUCAGCGGCAGGGAUAGGGCUGACGGGAGGGGCCCUGAGUCGUUGUCGUGCAGCAGCGGCAGGGGUAGGGCCGGGCGGCGUGCAGAGUUGUCGUCGCAGUGGCGCUUCGGGUCCCAGUCCCCUCUCCUCCACGAAUCCCGCCGCCGCCACCAUGAAUCGCACCGCUGAUGGCAUGGAGAUACCCAAGUUCCAUCAAGCCAUAGUCACCGAUCAGCGCUGCUCCACCCUCGACUUGCUCCACGUGAUCCUCCGCCCCUCCCCUAUCCAACCCUCCUCGCGAAUCGUGACUCCUCCUCCCACCACAGGGACUCCUCGGAAGUUGACUGCGAUCAGGAGUGCCGCCGCGACGAAGACUCUGCACGAGGCGCCUGCUCCCGCGCUGCCGCCGCUACGUGACUGCGUCGCCCGUCGCCAACCGCCAGACCUCCUCCUCUCCCGCCUCGCGCCCUCGCCCUGCCGGCCGACUUGCCUAUAAGACGAGAAGUGAGAGAGAGAGAAAGGAAGAAGGGAGAGAAGAGGGGAAAGAGAGAGGGUGCUAUAAUAUUUAUAAUACUAAAUUAGUUUCAUCAAAUCAAUAAUUGAAUACGUCGACUUUUGAGGUCUCGACUAGACGAAUACGGUAUUUGCAUGGUAUGGGGAUCGUCAGUACCAGGGUAUAUGCGAGAUUGAGUCAAAAGCGACAGAGACAAGGAUUUUAUACAUGUUCGGACCCCUUCACAGGAAGGUUACAACCCUACUCCUGUUGGCCGAAGCCGGUGUUACUCUAUAUUCAUCAGAAUCAUACAAGUACAAUAUUUGGGAUAACCCAUCUAGAUGUCGUUGACUUGGCGGCAUAGAUAACCAACACAUAGUCGACGACAGGAUAGUUUUCCUCCUCGAAUAUAAACUCGCCGAGAUCAGAGAUGGCGCUAGAUCCCUCUUGUCGACCUCCGCAGGCACCAGAUAGGGUUUAUUUAGGCUUAUCUCUGAUAUCGAUGUUUGGCUUGUCUUGGCUUGUGCGUUGAUAUGUUGUCCCUUCUCUCCUCCUAUGGGGUCUUGUACUUAUACCCAUAGAUAUCUCCUUGUCCAAGUAGAACUAGGGAGACCAAUAUAGAUAAAAUCCAAAUAUUCCUUGUAGUUUCCAUAUGGAACUCUACUCAUCCUCCCUUAUCCGGAACUCCUUCUAUAUAUGAGGUAUGAUUUCGUAUAGGACUUGGUAUAUGGUUGGCCCCGCCUAGCUUAGUCAAUUACUAUUGGGUAUAUGGUAUCCAUAACCCUGACAGAAUAUAUUUUCAUAAUAAAUUUGUCUUGGGUCUAAAAUGUUACUACUUUUUUCUACAAAUUUGGUCAAACUUAAAGUAGUUUGACUUUGACUAAAGUCAAAACGUAUUACAACCUGAAACGGAGGGAGUAAUAAUCUAAAGCUAGCUCUUUUGCUAGCUUUUGAUUGGUCCACGUGGCACCUCUUACUUUGAAGAAAAAUCAUAAAUUUAUAGUAGAGAAAAAAAAAACCUAACAAUCAUAUGUGAGAAAAAUCUAGAGAAAAGUAUCACAUAUGGAUUUCAGAGGCUUUCAGAGGCUUCCGAAACUAUCUUUCCUUUCCAAUCACACGAACUUGUACUCCUUUGCCUUGUAUAAAUAUACCACGCCUACUCGAUAUUACUCCUAUAACUUUAGAAUAUAUAGUAAUCCCAAAAUUAUUAAGAAACAAACAAAUCUAAAACAACUAAUUUACAUUCAUUUUCUUCUUUAAAUAUACUACGCCUACUCGGUACUACUCAUAUAACUAUAGAAUAUAUAAGUAAACUCGACAUUAUUAUGCAAAAAAAAAUCGAAAACAAACAAAGAAAGAAGGCAACCUUGUCUUCUUAUGUCAUGAAAUAAGAUCAUUAAUACCUCAGCCAAAAAAACGAUUGUGUUUUUUUGUUAGACAAGAUAUUUUUUAAAAAAACUCUGAAUAUACUAAAUGAUUGAUCUUUCAAAUAUUCAAAUCCACAAACAAAUAUAUUGGAACUAAUUAAUUUUGACAAAUCUCAAAAUUUACUUGUUUAGAUUUUAUUAAAACUUAUGUAUAAAAUGACAGAUUAAAUUUUGUACUUUUACUUGACAUGACAUACAAGUUCUAUAUUUUUAUAUUUUUUAUGACAAAUAUAUUUUUCACUUCUAUACAUAAUAAAUAUUGUCAAACUAAAAUAGUGGUUCGCAAUUUUCUUUUUAAAAUAUUUUAUAAAAACUCUAAAAUUUCAAAUAAGAAAAGAAGUAUAUACAUAUUUUAAAUAGUGAGCACACCAAUUUUAUCAUUUAGUAUUUUCUAGUGGUAAGUAUAUAUAGGUUGAGUAGCAAGCAUGCCAACGGCAUGCCGAUGUUUUAGUGAUAUGUAAAAUAUGUGUCAAACGCAUAAACGACUGGCUGCAUCAGCGCGACCAAAGAAAAAGGCUAGUGUGUACUACUACUAAUAUAUUUUUUCCUGUUUAGUUGUAUGAUGCUGAUGAGUAUAUGAUUUCAAAUUUUGCCAUACUUCACUAAUCCUAUUUGGUACAUGCCACCAUUCCAAAAUUAUAAUACUUAUUUUUACACUAUUUUCAAUGAUAUAUUUUGACCAUUAAUUUAUUGUAUGUUAUGUUUCCAAAUGAUAUAAAAUUAGCAUUACAUGAUAUGAUUAAUAUGAUCAUUAGUUAAAAAUUUAUUGAGUUUGAUUUUUCUAAAAAAAAUUGGGUUCAUUAUAAUUUGACAGAGAAAGUAUUUAGCAAAGUUUAAGGUUUAUUAAAGUUUAAAAUUUAGUAAGAAAUAAAUCAGUGCCCCUAUUAAAUAAUGUAGGAUUGUAUGUGAGAGGGUGGGUAGUUAGUGGUAUGAUGAAGAAAAUUUUGAAUUAAAGUUAAUUGAUGGUAAAAAAAUAUAAAGUGACAAGUUUUUGAGAAUAAAUUUUGAAUCCUAAAAAUGGAGGGAGAACUAGCAUAUGACUAUAGGAGUACUAGCGGAUAAUAUUUGCAUUGAUGUAAAAUUUUGCCCUUUCAUUUUUUGUUGUCAGUACUGCAGUAGAUGUCAAUAUAGUUGAGAUAUCACUAACCUAUUAAAAAUUCGACAGUAUUAAAACUUAUUUAAGAUUUAGUACUAUAAAAAUUUUGGCACGACAUUAAUCCAAACAAGCCUAACUGUAACUAUUUUUCUCCGUCAGUACUACGUCCUGUCUUUAGUAUAGUAGUAUACUCUGUUUUUCUAGAAUUCCACCUGUGAAGGUAUGACCGGAAAGAACUGUGAAGAUGCAGAAGAUAUGACUGGAAAGGACUGUGAAAAAGGUGCAGGCAAAAAAAGACAGCGAAAGAAUUGAUUCUACCAUGGAUAGAUGGGAUGGGCAGCUACGUGCCACUGCACCCAGCUGGUGAAAAAAAAGGACACUGCAUAGUCUGCUACGAUAAAGUCAGUAUCAGCACACUACACUGCAUUUGCUUAAAGUUCAUACUACCGGCGCUGAUGCCGCGAAGUAUGGAAAAACUAUAAAUGUUGGCUUAUGUGAUACUCCACUAAAAUCACUAUCUGAGUGCUGGGACACCUGUGCCUGCGGUACAUGGUACAACACUCUACUCAAGCGAGUUUGCUUUGAGUUUGUGUCACUGAAUGUUUGUUUACUGAUUUGAUUUUACAAUUUGCUUUAGCUUUUGAAGAACAAGACAUCUCUUUAGGGGUCUCAGCCUGAUAGUGACAUUGACAGCUAAUUGAGAGAUGCCUUCUGUUUUGAUUGUGAGUGUGGUUUUGCACAAACACUUUACGGUCAUCACAAGUCCCACUCGUGGGUAGGAAUCA